rnacentral:rRNA from 1 species
AGAGUUUGAUCCUGGCUCAGAACGAACGCUGGCGGCACGUUUUAAGCAUGCAAGUCGAACGGCAGUGGGGGCAACCCCAUGAGAGUGGCGAACGGGUGAGUAACACGUAGGUGAUCUGCCUUUGGGUUGGGGAUAGCUUGUGGAAACACAGGGUAAUACCGAAUGAGCUGACGGGGCUAUGGCCAAGUUAGUAAAGGUGCUACGGCACCGCCUAGAGAGGAGCCUGCGGCUGAUUAGCUAGUUGGUGGGGUAAAGGCCUACCAAGGCGACGAUCAGUAGCCGGCCUGAGAGGGUGUACGGCCACACUGGAACUGAGACACGGUCCAGACUCCUACGGGAGGCAGCAGCUAAGAAUCUUCCGCAAUGGGCGAAAGCCUGACGGAGCGAUGCCGCGUGAUCGAUGAAGGUCGAGAGAUUGUAAAGAUCUUUUCCAACUGAGGAAUAAGUGGACCAGGGAAUGGGUUCAUGAUGACGUUAAGUUGGGAAUAAGCCCCGGCUAAUUACGUGCCAGCAGCCGCGGUAACACGUAAGGGGCGAGCGUUGUUCGGAAUUAUUGGGCGUAAAGGGCACGCAGGCGGUUUUACAAGUCCGAUGUUAAAGACCUGGGCUUAACUCAGGGAAUGCGUUGGAAACUGUAAGACUAGAAUCUUGGAGGGGGAGUCGGAAUUCCUAGUGUAGGGGUGAAAUCUGUUGAUAUUAGGAAGAACACCGGUGGCGAAGGCGGACUCCUGGCCGAAGAUUGACGCUGAGGUGCGAAAGCAUAGGGAGCAAACAGGAUUAGAUACCCUGGUAGUCUAUGCUGUAAACGAUGUGCACUUGGUGUUGGGCCGAUUAGGUUCAGUGCCGUAGCUAACGCGAUAAGUGCACCGCCUGGGGAGUAUGCUCGCAAGGGUGAAACUCAAAUGAAUGGACGG